GAUCCUGGCUCAGGAUGAACGCUAGCGGCAGGCUUAACACAUGCAAGUCGAGGGGCAGCAUAAUGGAUAGCAAUAUCUAUGGUGGCGACCGGCGCACGGGUGCGUAACGCGUAUGCAACCUACCUUUAACAGGGGGAUAACACUGAGAAAUUGGUACUAAUACCCCAUAAUAUCAUAGAAGGCAUCUUUUAUUGGUUGUAAAAUUACCGAUGGUUAGGAGAUGGGCGAUGCGUUGUUA
rnacentral:rRNA from 1 species